UUGUGUGACAAAAGCCUCCUUGUCAAAGCCUGAUCUUGUCAGAUCUCAGAAACUAAGCAGGACUGGGCCUGGCGAGUACUUGGAUGGGAGACUGCUGGAAAUACCAGGUGCCACAGUGG
rnacentral:rRNA from 1 species